CGUAGGUGGCAAGCGUUGUCCGGAUUUAUUGGGUUUAAAGGGUGCGUAGGCGGUCAAAUAAGUCAGUGGUGAAAUACGGCAGCUCAACUGUCGAGGUGCCAUUGAUACUGUUUGACUUGAGUACUGAUGAGGUAGGCGGAAUGGACGGUGUAGCGGUGAAAUGCUUAGAGAUCGUCCAGAACACCGAUAGCGAAGGCAGCUUACUAAGGAGUAACUGACGCUGAGGCACGAAAGUGUGGGGAUCAAACAGGAUUAGAUACCCUGGUAGUCCACACUGUAAACGAUGAUUACUCGAUGUUGGCGAUACACAGCCAGCGUCUUAGCAAAAGCGAUAAGUAAUCCACCUGGGGAGUACGCCGGCAACGGUG
rnacentral:rRNA from 1 species